rnacentral:lncRNA from 1 species
CUCCCCUUCAUCCAACAUCCAGAUCUGAUAGAGAUCAGAUCUAAGAAGAGAAAAUAGAGAGAAAAGAAGAAGAAAAAGAGUUUUUCUUCUCUUUAUGAUGAUCUGGUUCAGAUCCCGUUGGAUUUGUGCGAAAGAGUUCGCAUAGCGAUCUUCUUCUUCAAGAUCUAGAAGAAGAGAUCUAGAUCUAAAGAUGAGGAGCGAGAUCUGCAAGGUGCUAGCACACCGAUGAUCUCAGUGCUCUAAUUAGGUAGCUCUGUGUGGAUACUAGUAGAGGU